rnacentral:rRNA from 1 species
CCUACGGGUGGCAGCAGUGAGGAAUAUUGGUCAAUGGACGAGAGUCUGAACCAGCCAAGUAGCGUGCAGGAUGACUGCCCUAUGGGUUGUAAACUUCUUUUAUAAAGGAAUAAAACGAGGCACGUGUGCCUUUUUGCAUGUACUUUAUGAAUAAGGAUCGGCUAACUCCGUGCCAGCAGCCGCGGUAAUACGGAGGAUCCGAGCGUUAUCCGGAUUUAUUGGGUUUAAAGGGAGCGUAGAUGGGUUGUUAAGUCAGUUGUGAAAGGUUGCGGCUCAACCGUAAAAUUGCAGUUGAUACUGGUAGUCUUGAGUACAGUUGAGGUAGGCGGAAUUCGUGGUGUAGCGGUGAAAUGCUUAGAUAUCACGAAGAACCCCGAUUGCGAAGGCAGCUUACUAAACUGUGACUGACGUUGAUGCACGAAAGUGUGGGUAUCAAACAGGAUUAGAUACCCUAGUAGUC